rnacentral:rRNA from 1 species
GUUGUAUAGUCAAGUAAUUAAGUGCAUGUGGUGGAUGCCUUGGCAGUCAGAGGCGAUGAAAGACGUGAUAGCCUGCGAAAAGCUCCGGGGAGGCGGCAAAUAUCCUUUGAUCCGGAGAUGUCUGAAUGGGGGAACCCACCUACUUUAAGGUAGGUAUUGCAACAUGAAUACAUAGUGUUGCAAGGCGAACGAGGGGAAGUGAAACAUCUCAGUACCCUUAGGAAAAGAAAUCAAUUGAGAUUCCCUCAGUAGCGGCGAGCGAACGGGGAUCAGCCCAUUAAGUUAUGUGUGUUUUAGUGGAACGCUCUGGGAAGUGCGAACGUAGAGGGUGAUAUUCCCGUACACGAAAGGGCACACAUAAUGAUGACGAGUAGGGCGAGGCACGUGAAACCUUGUCUGAAUAUGGGGGGACCAUCCUCCAAGGCUAAAUACUCCUGACUGACCGAUAGUGAACCAGUACCGUGAGGGAAAGGCGAAAAGAACCCCUGUGAGGGGAGUGAAAUAGAUCCUGAAACCGCAUGCAUACAAGCAGUGGGAGCACCUUCGUGGUGUGACUGCGUACCUUUUGUAUAAUGGGUCAGCGACUUAUAUUCAGUAGCGAGGUUAACCGUAUAGGGGAGCCGUAGAGAAAUCGAGUCUUAAUAGGGCGUUUAGUUGCUGGGUAUAGACCCGAAACCAGGCGAUCUAUCCAUGAGCAGGUUGAAGGUUGGGUAACACUAACUGGAGGACCGAACCCACUGUCGUUGAAAAGCCAGGGGAUGACUUGUGGAUAGGGGUGAAAGGCUAAUCAAGCCUGGUGAUAGCUGGUUCUCCCCGAAAGCUAUUUAGGUAGCGCCUCGGACGAAUACCAUAGGGGGUAGAGCACUGUUUCGGCUAGGGGGUCAUCCCGACUUACCAAACCGAUGCAAACUCCGAAUACCUAUGAGUACUAUCCGGGAGACAGACUGCGGGUGCUAACGUCCGUAGUCAAGAGGAAAACAAUCCAGACCGCCAGCUAAGGCCCCAAAAUCAUAGUUAAGUGGGAAACGAUGUGGGAAGGCAUAGACAGCUAGGAGGUUGGCUUAGAAGCAGCCACCCUUUAAAGAAAGCGUAAUAGCUCACUAGUCGAGUCGGCCUGCGCGGAAGAUGUAACGGGGCUAAAACUAUGUGCCGAAGCUGCGGAUGUAUACUUUGUAUACGUGGUAGGGGAGCGUUCUGUAAGCCGAUGAAGGUGUGUUGAGAAGCAUGCUGGAGGUAUCAGAAGUGCGAAUGCUGACGUGAGUAACGACAAAACGGGUGAAAAACCCGUUCGCCGAAAGACCAAGGGUUCCAGUCCAACGUUAAUCGGGGCUGGGUGAGUCGACCCCUAAGGCGAGGCCGAAAGGCGUAGUCGAUGGGAAAAUGGUUAAUAUUCCAUUACUUCUGUGUAAUGCGAUGAGAGGACGGAGAAGGCUAAAUCAGCCUGGCGUUGGUUGUCCAGGUGAAAGGAUGUAGGCAUGUAUCUUAGGCAAAUUCGGGGUACUCUAUGCUGAGAUCUGAUAGCAAGCUGUACUUGUACAGCGAAGUGGUUGAUGCCAUGCUUCCAGGAAAAGUCUCUAAGCUUCAGUUACACAGGAAUCGUACCCGAAACCGACACAGGUGGUCAGGUCGAGUAGACCAAGGCGCUUGAGAGAACUCUGCUGAAGGAACUAGGCAAAAUGGUACCGUAACUUCGGGAGAAGGUACGCUGUUGUUGGUGAUGGAACUCGCUUCCUGAGCUGACGACAGCCGCAGAAACCAGGCCGCUGCAACUGUUUAUUAAAAACAUAGCACUCUGCAAACACGAAAGUGGACGUAUAGGGUGUGAUGCCUGCCCGGUGCUGGAAGGUUAAUUGAUGGGGUUAGCGUAAGCGAAGCUCUUGAUCGAAGCCCCAGUAAACGGCGGCCGUAACUAUAACGGUCCUAAGGUAGCGAAAUUCCUUGUCGGGUAAGUUCCGACCUGCACGAAUGGCAUAAUGAUGGCGGCGCUGUCUCCAGCAGAGGCUCAGUGAAAUCGAAAUCGCUGUGAAGAUGCAGUGUACCCGCGGCUAGACGGAAAGACCCCGUGAACCUUUACUGCAGCUUGACACUGAACUUUGACCUUACUUGUGUAGGAUAGGUGGGAGGCUUUGAAGCUGGAACGCUAGUUCCAGUGGAGCCGUCCUUGAAAUACCACCCUGGUAAUGUUGAGGUUCUAACUCUGUCCCGUGAUCCGGGACGAGGACCGUGUCUGGUGGGUAGUUUGACUGGGGCGGUCUCCUCCUAAAGAGUAACGGAGGAGUACGAAGGUGCGCUCAGCGUGGUCGGAAAUCACGCGUAGAGUAUAAAGGCAAAAGCGCGCUUAACUGCGAGACCCACAAGUCGAGCAGGUACGAAAGUAGGUCUUAGUGAUCCGGUGGUUCUGUAUGGAAGGGCCAUCGCUCAACGGAUAAAAGGUACUCUGGGGAUAACAGGCUGAUACCGCCCAAGAGUUCAUAUCGACGGCGGUGUUUGGCACCUCGAUGUCGGCUCAUCUCAUCCUGGGGCUGAAGCAGGUCCCAAGGGUAUGGCUGUUCGCCAUUUAAAGAGGUACGCGAGCUGGGUUUAGAACGUCGUGAGACAGUUCGGUCCCUAUCUACCGUGGGCGCUGGAAAUUUGAGAGGAUCUGCUCCUAGUACGAGAGGACCAGAGUGGACGAACCUCUGGUGUACCGGUUGUGACGCCAGUCGCAUCGCCGGGUAGCUAUGUUCGGAAGGGAUAACCGCUGAAAGCAUCUAAGCGGGAAGCCUACCUCAAGAUAAGAUUUCCCUAGGACUUUAUGUCCUCUAAAGAGCCGUUCGAGACUAGGACGUUGAUAGGUUGGAUGUGGAAGCAUAGUGAUAUGUGAAGCUGACCAAUACUAAUUGCUCGUGAGGCUUGACUAUACAACACCCAAGCAGUUG